rnacentral:tmRNA from 1 species
GGGGGUGCUCUGGUUUCGACAGGAUCGCUGAAGCGUGAGUUGCGUGCCGAGGGUCUGGCUGGCCUCGUAAAAAAGCCGGAAAAAAAUAAGUGCUAACGAAGAAUACGCACUCGCUGCUUAAUUUUUAGCAACGCUGGAACUUGAUCCCCUCCCACGGGCUUGAGAUCUCCAGUCGCAAUGUGGGAUAGGAAAGCGUCAUGUUCUGGGGCGCGGUCCGAAAUUUACAGAACUGGCUGGAAUUUGCGCCGACCUUCUUGGGCGUGAAAACUGGCGAGAUCUUAAAUACGAAGGGAACGCACGUAGGAAUGAACGGGGACGUGGUUUUGGACAGGAGUUCGACUCUCCUCACCUCCACU